rnacentral:rRNA from 1 species
AACGAACGCUGGCGGCAUGCCUAACACAUGCAAGUCGAACGAGACCUUCGGGUCUAGUGGCGCACGGGUGCGUAACGCGUGGGAAGCUGCACUUAGGUACGGAAUACCUCUCCGAAAGGGGUGCUAAUACCGGAUAAUGUCUUCGGACCAAAGAUUUAUCGCCUUUGGAUGGGCCCGCGUUGGAUUAGCUUGUUGGUAGGGUAAUAGCCUACCAAGGCGAGGAUCCAUAGCUGGUCUGAGAGGAGGAUCAGCCACACUGGGACUAAGACACGGCCCAGACUCCUACGGGAGGCAGCAGUGGGGAAUAUUGGACAAUGGGGGAAAGCCUGAUCCAGCAAUGCCGGGUAAGUGAUGAAGGCCUUAGGGAAGUAAAGCUCUUUUACCCGGGAUGAUAAUGACGGUACCGGGAGAAUAAGCACCGGCUAACUCCGUG